rnacentral:rRNA from 1 species
GACGAACGCUGGCGGCGUGCUUAACACAUGCAAGUCGAACGGUGACGAGGAGCUUGCUCCUCUGAUCAGUGGCGAACGGGUGAGUAACACGUGAGCAACCUGCCCCAGACUCUGGGAUAACAGUUGGAAACAGCUGCUAAUACCGGAUACGAGGCGGAGAGGCAUCUCUACCGUCUGGAAAGUUUUUCGGUCUGGGAUGGACUCGCGGCCUAUCAGCUAGUUGGUGAGGUAAUGGCUCACCAAGGCGACGACGGGUAGCCGGCCUGAGAGGGCGACCGGCCACACUGGGACUGAGACACGGCCCAGACUCCUACGGGAGGCAGCAGUAGGGAAUAUUGGACAAUGGGCGCAAGCCUGAUCCAGCCAUGCCGCGUGAGUGAAGAAGGCCCUCGGGUUGUAAACUUCUUUGAUCGGGGACGAAGCAGACGGUACCCGAGGAACAAGCCACGGCUAACUACGUG